UACGUAGGGAGCAAGCGUUGUCCGGAAUCAUUGGGCGUAAAGCGCGCGUAGGUGGCUUCGUAAGUCCGUUGUGAAAGUCAAAGGCUCAACCUUUGAAAGCCGAUGGAUACUGCGGAGCUAGAGUACGGAAGAGGCGAGUGGAAUUCCUGGUGUAGCGGUGGAAUGCGCAGAUAUCGGGAGGAACACCAGUAGCGAAGGCGGCACUCUGGGCCGGUACUGGACGCUGAGGAGCGAAAGCGUGGGGAGCAAACAGGG
rnacentral:rRNA from 1 species